rnacentral:tRNA from 1 species
GCCCGGGUGGUGGAACCGGUAGACACGGCUGCCUUAAAAGCGGCUGCCGAAAGGCGUGCGGGUUCGAGUCCCGCCCCGGGCA